UACGUAGGGGGCAAGCGUUGUCCGGAAUCACUGGGCGUAAAGCGCGCGCAGGCGGCUAUCUACGUCCGGGGUGAAAGCCCAGAGCUCAACUCUGGGAUUGCCUUGGAUACGGGAUGGCUUGAGGAUCGGAGAGGCAAGGGGAAUUCCACGUGUAGCGGUGAAAUGCGUAGAGAUGUGGAGGAACACCUGUGGCGAAGGCGGCGUUCUGGACUGCAACUGACACUGAUGAACGAAAGCCAGGGGAGCAAACGGG
rnacentral:rRNA from 1 species